rnacentral:lncRNA from 1 species
UUUCUUUAUGAAUUUUGAGAAUCUAUGGAUAAAAGAAAUACGAUAAAAACCAAUAUGAAUAUUAUAAAGACAAUAAAAAAAAUUGUUACGUUUCCACCUCAAAGUGAAAUAUAGUAUUUAAUUCGUUCUUUCAUUUAAUGCCUAUUGGUGUUCCAAGAGUUGUAUUCCGAAAUCCUGGAGAUCCAAUUUCAUCUUGGGUUGACAUAUAGUGCGACUUGUCAGAUAUAUUGGGUCAUAUGGUAUUUCCCCGUUCUCUCCCCCGAUCGAGAUAUCCCCCGUUUCGCCCAAGAAAGAUAAAUUGAAUCAUCAAAAAUUUGGAGCGUGAAGUGCAAUUAGAUCCAUUUUUGAGGGGAUUCAUAUUACUAUUAUCAAUUAGAAUAAUUUAUGGUUGGCUUGGUUGGACUAAAUAAAUGAAGUAUCCAGGCUCCGUUUAGAAAAAACCCAAUUGGAUUGGUAAGAUAUCUAUGUAAGAUAUCUAUGAUUGCUAUUCAUAUUUUUUCUUUGUAAAGAGAUCCUAAUUGUCAAGCAAAGUUAUCUCAACUCUAAUAAAUACUUGUAUAAAAUGAAUUGAAAAAAAAAAAAAAAAAUACAAAAAGAAAUGGUAAUGGGAGCAUUUGUCCUAUAUGUACAAAUCCAAAUCGGGCGGAUCUUUACCCGGAGUAGAGCAUAAACCUAAAAAGAUGAAACAGACCCAUUCAGGAACAAGAAAAUACCAUCGCGGUUUGGAUUAAAUCUCGAUGAAAGAAUACAUCAAUGAGAAGUUAAUUCGAUAAGUUUAAUGACCCUUUCUUAUAACUUCGAAUUUUAUAAUAGAAAAUAUCAAAAAGGAGUAAAAACUCGUCUUUAUUGAAAAAUCGAAGAAAAGCCCUUUCGUUAGAAGUAAGAAAGAACCCUUGUAGAAAAAAAGAAAGAGGACUGGAAUCUCUACAUUGAUUCACAAUUUUUUUGAACCGUAUGCAUCAAAAGGCGCAUGUACGGUUCCUAAGGGAUACAAUUUUACCCUAAUCAACCGACUUUAUCGAGAAAGAUUACUUUUUUUAGGCCAAGGGAUUGGUACCGAGCUUUCGAAUCAACUUAUUGGUCUUAUGUUGUAUCUCAGUAUGGAGGAUGAGAACAAAGACCUGUAUUUGUUUGUAAACUCUCCUGGGGGCUGGGUAAUACCUGGGAUCGCCAUUUAUGAUACUAUGCAAUUUGUGCGACCAGAUAUCCAUACAAUAUGCCUAGGAUUAGCUGCUUCAAUGGGAUCUUUUAUCCUGGCCGGAGGACAACUUACCAAACGUAUAGCAUUCCCUCACGCUUGGCGCCAAUGAGGUUUUUAUUUGAGAGAAAAAAGAAGACUAUGCCUUCGCCAUAUGAAUACUAAGUAAUAAUAGCAUGGCACUUCGAAUUCGAUAUGAGAAAUUUUUGUAUUGUUUUUUUUUUUCAAAACAUUAGAUUCUGUAUCGAGAGAGUAGUAUGAGAUAAGGGGUAUUUCCGAUUUUCUAUUAUAUAUCGGGAGUUCAGUUCAGCGUCACAAACUUUUUGUUUUCAUGCCGGAGAGUUCUUAACAAUAUUUAUGUUAUGAAAGAGUACGAAAAAAAAAUAAUUUUUCCUUAUUUGAUCGGAUUAAAAAGAAACUUUGGGAUUGCUGAAUCACAGACAAAAAAAAGAAAAAAUAAACAUAUAAAGCAACGGAGCCAUCAUAGUAUUUUUGAAUUCCUCCGAAAGGAAGGAUGGCAAUUUGAUUAUUUACCCAUCUGAGUCUGAUAGAUUCUAUUUUUCUCUUUCUUCAAUGGGGGUCAAUUUUCUUGUAGAGCCGUAUGCACAAAAGAUGCCUGUACGGUUGUUCAAUUCUAUCUUUUUUCUAUUCUUUAUCUUUCUUUUUUCUUUGCUUUAUCAUGCGAGAUAGGGGAAGCUUUUAUUUUGUUAUAUCAUCAGGGUAAUGAUACAUGAACCUUAUAGUGGUUUUUAUAUGGCACAAGUAGGCGAAUUUGUCCUGGAAGCGAUAGAAAUGGCGAAACUGCGUGAAACCCUCACAAGGGUUUAUGCAGAAAAAACGGGCCAACCCGUGUGGGUUAUACACGAAGAUAUGGAAAGAGAUAUUUUUAUGUCAGCAACAGAAGCCCAAGCUUAUGGAAUUGUUGAUUUUGUAGCGGUUCAAGGAAAAGAACAUGGAUUUCACGCAGAUCUAUGAUUUGAGAUUUUAUCUUCGAAUUGAAUAUUCUAUUAAAUAGAAGUAAUUCACCAUCAUUCGGUUAGGAUCAAUCUAAACCAACCCAUCAUAUUAUGUAUACGAUUCAACAUGCCAACUAUUAAACAACUUAUUAGAAAUACAAGACAGCCAAUCAGAAAUGUCACGAAAUCCCCCGCUCUUCGGGGGUGCCCUCAGCGUCGAGGAACAUGUACUAGGGUGUAUGUGCGACUCGUUUAGAUCAUGAGCUGGCACAAAAAGCAAGAAAACUACUUUUACAGUAUCAAUGAUCAGUACCGGUGAAUGGGAUAGGAUGGAAAAAGGAACUCC